rnacentral:rRNA from 1 species
UCCCUACGGGGGGCAGCAGUGAGGAAUAUUGGUCAAUGGCCGAGAGGCUGAACCAGCCAAGUCGCGUGAGGGAUGACGGCCCUACGGGUUGUAAACCUCUUUUGUCGGGGAGCAAGACCCGCCACGAGUGGCGGAGCGAGAGUACCCGAAGAAAAAGCAUCGGCCAACUCCGUGCCAGCAGCCGCGGUAAUACGGAGGGUGCCAGCGUUAUCCGGAUUUAUUUGGUUUAAAGG